UACGUAGGGUGCAAGCGUUAAUCGGAAUUACUGGGCGUAAAGCGUGCGCAGGCGGUUAUGCAAGACAGAUGUGAAAUCCCCGGGCUCAACCUGGGAACUGCAUUUGCGACUGCAUAGCUAGAGUACGGUAGAGGGGGAUGGAAUUCCGCGUGUAGCAGUGAAAUGCGUAGAUAUGCGGAGGAAUACCGAUGGCGAAGGCAGCCCCCUGGGAUAACACUGACGCUCAUGCACGAAAGCGUGGGGAGCAAACAGG
rnacentral:rRNA from 1 species